rnacentral:rRNA from 1 species
UGGGGAAUAUUGGACAAUGCGGGAAACCGUGAUCCAGCAAUGCCGCGUGAGUGAUGAAGGCCUUAGGGUUGUAAAGCUCUUUUACCCGGGAUGAUAAUGACAGUACCGGGAGAAUAAGCUCCGGCUAACUCCGUGCCAGCAGCCGCGGUAAUACGGAGGGAGCUAGCGUUGUUCGGAAUUACUGGGCGUAAAGCGCGCGUAGGCGGCUAUUCAAGUCAGGGGUGAAAUCCCGGGGCUCAACCCCGGAACUGCCCUUGAAACUAGGUAGCUAGAAUAUCGGAGAGGUAAGUGGAAUUCCGAGUGUAGAGGUGAAAUUCGUAGAUAUUCGGAAGAACACCAGUGGCGAAGGCGACUUACUGGACGAUGAUUGACGCUGAGGUGCGAAAGCGUGGGGAGCAAACAGGAUUAGAUACCCCCGUAGUCC